rnacentral:rRNA from 1 species
UAGGGAAUCUUCGGCAAUGGGCACAAGCCUGAUGGAGCAACACCGCGUGAGUGAAGAAGGGUUUCGGCUCGUAAAACUCUGUUGUUAGAGAAGAACACGAGUGAGAGUAACUGUUCAUUCGAUGACGGUAUCUAACCAGCAAGUCACGGCUAACUACGUGCCAG